rnacentral:piRNA from 1 species
UGAGACUGCCGAAACAACUCA